CCUACGGGAGGCAGCAGUGGGAAUUUUGGACAAUGGGGCCAACCCUUGAUCCAGCCAUGCCGCGUGAGUGAAGAAGCCCUUCGGGUUGUAAAGCUCUUUCGGCGGGGAAGAAAUGGCAACGGCUAAUAUCCGUUGUUGAUGACGGUACCCGCAUAAGAAGCACCGGCCAACUACGUGCCAGCAGCCGCGGUAAUACGUAGGGUGCGAGCGUUAAUCGGAAUUACUGGGCGUAAAGCGUGCGCAGGCGGUUUCGUAAGACAGACGUGAAAUCCCCGGGCUCAACCUGGGAACUGCGUUUGUGACUGCGAGGCUAGAGUACGGCAGAGGGGGGUAGAAUUCCACGUGUAGCAGUGAAAUGCGUAGAGAUGUGGAGGAAUACCGAUGGCGAAGGCAGCCCCCUGGGUUAGUACUGACGCUCAUGCACGAAAGCGUGGGGAGCAAACAGGAUUAGAUACCCUGGUAGUCCACGCCCUAAACGAUGUCAACUAGGUGUUGGAAGGGUUAAACCUUUUAGUACCGCAGCUAACGCGUGAAGUUGACCGCCUGGGGAGUACGGCCGCAAGGUUAAAACUCAAAGGAAUUGACGGGG
rnacentral:rRNA from 1 species